rnacentral:rRNA from 1 species
GACGAACGCUGGCGGCGUGCCUAAUACAUGCAAGUUGAGCGCUGAAGGUUGGUACUUGUACCGACUGGAUGAGCAGCGAACGGGUGAGUAACGCGUGGGGAAUCUGCCUUUGAGCGGGGGACAACAUUUGGAAACGAAUGCUAAUACCGCAUAAAAACUUUAAACACAAGUUUUAAGUUUGAAAGAUGCAAUUGCAUCACUCAAAGAUGAUCCCGCGUUGUAUUAGCUAGUUGGUGAGGUAAAGGCUCACCAAGGCGAUGAUACAUAGCCGACCUGAGAGGGUGAUCGGCCACAUUGGGACUGAGACACGGCCCAAAAUCCGACGGGAGGCAGCAGUAGGGAAUCUUCGGCAAUGGACGAAAGUCUGACCGAGCAACGCCGCGUGAGUGAAGAAGGUUUUCGGAUCGUAAAACUCUGUUGGUAGAGAAGAACGUUGGUGAGAGUGGAAAGCUCAUCAAGUGACGGUAACUACCCAGAAAGGGACGGCUAACUACGUGCCAGCAGCCGCCGUAA